rnacentral:lncRNA from 1 species
AUGCAAAAUCUGCUUAGAUAUUGUCAUAGCUUAGAUAUUGUCAUAGCUUGGAUAUUAUCAAAACAUAUACCUAUGUUUUUCCUUUUUUUUUUUCUUUUUUUCUUUUUUCUCUCUGAACAGAACUGUCUUGAAUAUCCCGCAGGCUUUGGUGAGAAUUUUAGAAAGUCUGUCAACAUUCGUAUUUCUACACACAUGCAAAAUACCCUAUGCAGCGUCUUACUACUGGAGGCCUGGAGACGAGGAGAUUACGGCAGGUGCUAAGCAGAUAAUAAGGUCACAAGUUUGGUGAGUUGUGUCACUCUUACCGACCUAAACUUUCAUCCCCUUUUUUAGUGCUACUCAAAUGUGCUCUUUAAAAGUUUUGAAUUUCAUCAGACAUCACAGAAGUUAUCCUCAUGGUGCUUUCAGAAAGACUGGUGGUAGAGGCUUGCUGUCAUCACAUCGUCGUCUCGUCCAAGUGGCUGAAUUGCUAUAUGUUAAAGCUCUGGUUAGACCGAGGAAAUGCUCAUAUGUAUGCUUCUAAGGACAACUUGCUAUAAGCCUGUAAAAUGAAUAAGAUGGAUGAAGAGGGCUUAGGUUUGAACCAGUCUUUGGGUCCUCCUCACGCCUUGAAGUCUGUCUGGCUGAUAUGGCUACGUGCAACGGGUAAGAACGUUGGGUCUAAGUUAUGAAAACAGCUGCAGCACAGGAUGGGUCUUAAAUCUCCCCUGGAUGUCCAUAUGCGUGUAUGCAUGUAUCAACCAGCCGUGUCUUCCUGCUUGACAUCCAGCUGUUCGCCCUGCUAGGCAAAGCUUAGUAAACUAUUUCCAGCAAAUUUGAGUGGAAUUUGAUAAAUAGUUUCAGGCGAUGUAUUGUUUGAGGUGAAUUUUCUAAGGAUUUAAACCUUCUGCUAAUAAGUCUUUAAUCAUGAAUUUUUGCUUUGAUAUUAGUUAUUUUCCAGCACUGUCUGAAGCAGUGAGUGGAGUAAUGGGCCAUUUUGACUCUACAUUUUAAUAUACUUCAUAUUUGGCGAUGCCCAAGAAAAAUGUCUUCAUCCUAAAUUGUCAUUUAAAAAAUACCAGGGUGACUGUUAAUUGUGGCCACAGUGGAAACCGUAAACCAGCAAAAAUAAGGGUUUAAGAAACAGGAAUGCUAAUCAAAAAGGGGAUCCAUUUAAGUUUUCCUUAAAUUUUUCCUUAAACUUAGUGCAAGUAUUUUCCCAGGAUGGAGAAGUGCUCAACUGGGUUAUUAAUUUAUACAUGAGCAAAAGAGGUUUAAGCAU